AGCGGGGUAGAUCAGCACGGAGUGAUCGCCGGGCUCAUAACCCGGAGGUCGGUGGUUCAAAUCCACUCCCCGCUA
rnacentral:tRNA from 1 species